rnacentral:tRNA from 1 species
AAAAACAGGUAAAAAAGCGUUUAAGCAGAUAUAAAGCGUUUAAGAAACGUUCGAGUGCAUUUAAGAAACAUAUAAAGAAGGUGUUUAAGAAACAGGUAAAAAGGUGUUUAAGAAACAUAUCUGUUUCUUAAACAUAUCUUUUUGUUUUCUUUUGUUUUCUUUUAUCUGUCCCGAGGAAGGUUUUUACCGAUUUACUCCUGAGGGCUUGUAGCUCAGUUGGUUAGAGCGCGCGCUUGAUAAGCGUGAGGUCGGAGGUUCAAGUCCUCCCAGGCCCACCAAUUUAUGAUUGCUGAUAAGUUUGCUGAUAAGUUUUUUGUGAAUGUUUUGAUGGUCUUUUAUCUUACGAUCUUUCACUUUUAUGUUGCAAUCUUUCAAAAGUAUUUGAACUGUUUUAGGGGCCGUAGCUCAGCUGGGAGAGCACCUGCUUUGCAAGCAGGGGGUCGUCGGUUCGAUCCCGUCCGGCUCCACCAUCUUUGGUUAUCAUCAUCGUUAAAGAACAAUGUUUGCAAUAGAUCUACAGAUCUUAAGUCUAUCAUCUAUUGCCUGUUCUAUUGAAAUUGUGAAGAGAAGAUAUAUUCAGACAUUACUGUUUUAUUCAGCUAUUGUUGUUUUGUUGUUGCUUUUAAUGUUUAAGUCUCUCCUUUAAGGAAUGACAAAAAGCUUAAAAACGCAACGCUUACUUAAAAACACAACGCUAACAUUGUUAAACAAUGUUUAAAGCAGUGUAAUGUGUCGCUAGGGUAUGCUCAAAGCCUUAGCUUUAUGAUUGGAG